GUGUCAGCAGCCGCGGUAAUACAGAGGUCUCAAGCGUUGUUCGGAAUCACUGGGCGUAAAGGGUGCGUAGGCGGCGUAAAAAGUCAGAUGUGAAAUCCGGAGGCUCAACCUCCGAAUUGCAUCCGAAACUUCUAUGCUAGAGGGUUGUAGAGGAGCUUGGAAUUCUCGGUGUAGCAGUGAAAUGCGUAGAUAUCGAGAAGAACGCUCGCAGCGAAAGCGGGGCUCUGGGCAACUUCUGACGCUGAUGCACGAAGGCUAGGGGAGCAAACGGGAUUAGAAACCCCGGUAGUCC
rnacentral:rRNA from 1 species